AACAGGAUUAGAUACCCUGGUAGUCCACGCCCUAAACGAUGAUCACUAGUUGUUCGGAAAGGUGACUUUCUGAGUAACGUAGCUAACGCGUGAAGUGAUCCGCCUGGGGAGUACGGUCGCAAGAUUAAAACUCAAAGGAAUUGACGGGGACCCGCACAAGCGGUGGAUGAUGUGGAUUAAUUCGAUGCAACGCGAAAAACCUUACCUACCCUUGACAUGCCUGGAAGAUCGCAGAGAUGUGAUUGUGCCUUCGGGAACCAGGACACAGGUGCUGCAUGGCUGUCGCCAGCUCGUGUCGUGAGAUGUUGGGUUAAGUCCCGCAACGAGCGCAACCCUUGUCUUUAGUUGCUACGAAAGGGCACUCUAGAGAGACUGCCGGUGACAAACCGGAGGAAGGUGGGGAUGACGUCAAGUCCUCAUGGCCCUUAUGGGUAGGGCUUCACACGUCAUACAAUGGUCGGUACAGAGGGUUGCCAACCCGCGAGGGGGAGCUAAUCUCAGAAAGCCGAUCGUAGUCCGGAUUGGAGUCUGCAACUCGACUCCAUGGAGUCGGAAUCGCUAGUAAUCGCGGAUCAGCUUGCCGCGGUGUAUACGUUCCCGGGUCUUGUACACACCGCCCGUCACACCAUGGGAGUGGGUUUUACCAGAAGCAGCUAGCCUAACCGCAAGGGGGGCGGCUACCACGGUAGGGUUCAUGACUGGGGUGAAGUCGUAACAAGGUAACC
rnacentral:rRNA from 1 species